ACGUGAAACCUUGUGGGAAGCAGGGAGGACCACCUCCCAAGGCUAAAUACUACCUGAUGACCGAUAGUGAAGCAGUACCGUGAGGGAAAGGUGAAAAGAACCCCGGGAGGGGAGUGAAAUAGAACCUGAAACCGUGUGCCUACAACCGCUCAGAGCCCCUUAUGAGGGUGAUGAGGUGCUUUUUGUAGAACGAGCCAACGAGUUACGGUAUGUAGCAAGGUUAAGUACUUAAGGUACGGAGCCGAAGGGAAACCGAGUCUGAAUAGGGCGACUAGUUGCAUGCCGUAGACCCGAAACCGGGUGACCUAUCCAUGGCCAGGUUGAAGCGAGGGUAAAACCUCGUGGAGGACCGAACCACGUUGCUGUUGAAAAAGCAUGGGAUGAGCUGUGGAUAGCGGAGAAAUUCCAAUCGAACCCGGAGAUAGCUGGUUCUCUCCGAAAUAGCUUUAGGGCUAGCGUCGAGUAUGAGUAGUGGAGGUAGAGCACUGAAUGGGCUAGGGGGCAUAGCGCUUACCGAACCUUAUCAAACUCCGAAUGCCACAUACUUUGAGCUCGGCAGUCAGACUACGAAUGAUAAGAUCCGUGGUCAAAAGGGAAACAGCCCAGAUCGUCAGCUAAGGUCCCAAAGUGUAAGUUAAGUGGGAAAGGAUGUGAGAUUUCUAAGACAACUAGGAUGUUGGCUUAGAAGCAGCCAUUCAUUAAAAGAGUGCGUAAUAGCUCACUAGUCGAGAGAUCUUGCGCCGAAAAUGUAACGGGGCUAAACUUACCACCGAAGCUACGGGCUUGAACUUAGUUCAAGCGGUAGGAGAGCGUCGUAACCGGGCUGAAGUCGUACCGUAAGGAGCGGUGGACUGGUUACGAGUGAGAAUGUUGGCAUCAGUAGCGAGAUGUGGGUGAGAAUCCCACAGGCCGAAAACCUAAGGUUUCCUCAGGAAGGUUCGUCCGCUGAGGGUUAGUCGGGACCUAAGCCGAGGCCGAAAGGCGUAGGUGAUGGACAACUGGUUGAUAUUCCAGUACCACUACCAUCGUUAUUAUCGAUGGCGUGACGCAGGAGGAUAGUGUGUGCUAGCUAUUGGAUGCUAGUCUAAGCGUUUAGGCAGUGAGAGUAGGCAAAUCCGCUCUCAUAAUGCUGAGGCGUGAUGGGGAAGGUUCUACGGAACCGAAGUACAUGAUUCCACGCUGCCAAGAAAAGCGUCUAGAGAGAGAAGUAGUGCCCGUACCGCAAACCGACACAGGUAGGUGAGGAGAGAAUCCUAAGGCCGGCGGAAGAAUUACAGUUAAGGAACUCGGCAAAUUGACCCCGUAAGUUCGCGAGAAGGGGUGCCUACGAGAGUAGGCCGCAGAGAAUAGGCCCAAGCAACUGUUUAGCAAAAACACAGGUCUCUGCUAAAGCGUAAGCUGAUGUAUAGGGGCUGACGCCUGCCCGGUGCUGGAAGGUUAAGGGGAACACUUAGCGCAAGCGAAGGUGUGAACUUAAGCCCCAGUAAACGGCGGCCGUAACUAUAACGGUCCUAAGGUAGCGAAAUUCCUUGUCAGGUAAGUUCUGACCCGCACGAAUGGCGUAAUGACUUGGGCACUGUCUCAACUGUAAAUCCGGCGAAGUUGUAGUGCGAGUGAAGAUGCUCGCUACCCGCGAUUGGACGGAAAGACCCCGUAGAGCUUUACUGUAGCUUAGCAUUGAGUUUUGGUAUUGUCUGUACAGGAUAGGUGGGAGACUAGGAAACCAGGGCGUCAGCCUUGGUGGAGUCAACCUUGGGAUACCACCCUGACAGUACUGAAAUUCUAACUGGCGGCCAUGAAUCUGGUCACAGGACAUUGUUAGGUGGGCAGUUUGACUGGGGCGGUCGCCUCCUAAAAAGUAACGGAGGCGCCCAAAGGUUCCCUCAGAACGGUCGGAAAUCGUUCGAAGAGUGCAAAGGCAGAAGGGAGCCUGACUGCGACACCCACAAGUGGAGCAGGGACGAAAGUCGGGCUUAGUGAUCCGGUGGUACCUCGUGGGAGGGCCAUCGCUCAACGGAUAAAAGCUACCUCGGGGAUAACAGGCUGAUCUCCCCCAAGAGUCCACAUCGACGGGGAGGUUUGGCACCUCGAUGUCGGCUCGUCGCAUCCUGGGGCUGAAGUAGGUCCCAAGGGUUGGGCUGUUCGCCCAUUAAAGCGGCACGCGAGCUGGGUUCAGAACGUCGUGAGACAGUUCGGUCCCUAUCCGUCGCGGGCGUAGGAAAUUUGAGAGGAGCUGUCCUUAGUACGAGAGGACCGGGAUGGACUGACCUCUGGUGUACCAGUUGUUCCGCCAGGAGCACAGCUGGGUAGCUAAGUCGGGAAUGGAUAAACGCUGAAAGCAUCUAAGCGUGAAGCCAACCUCAAGAUGAGAUUUCCCAUAGCGUAAGCUAGUAAGAUCCCUUGAAGAACACAAGGUUGAUAGGUCGGGGGUGUAAGCAUGGUAACAUGUUCAGCUGACCGAUACUAAUAGAUCGAGGGCUUGACCAAAU
rnacentral:rRNA from 1 species